UUUAAUGUGUUAAAAAUAGUUUUCUGGAAGCCAAUUGCUUUCUGCAUAACAAACCUUUACAAAUACUCAUAGAAUUUGAGCAGUU